rnacentral:lncRNA from 1 species
UUCCGGGCACCCAAAACGUUCGGAACUCAGGUUCACUUCUUUCGUAACUCCGUUUCGAUCAAUUCGAUCCAAAUUCAAUCUGAACUUCCUCAAAUCCAUUUUAAUCAUGUCUACUUAAUCCGUAUUUUGUCAAUUUAGUCAAUAUUCAGUACAUAUAUAUUGCACGUCCACUUAGCUAGUAAUAAUAAGUAUAUCAGUCCACAGCAGCAAAAGGCCACGGGGAUGUUAACAGACCCGCCGAAUGGACAUAAUUUUUUCUGUUCGAACGAAGCACCAACAUAAUCUAGCAUUAGCAAAGUAACACUGGAGAUCACAACUGAAAGUUUUUCCAA